AUGAUGAGGUCAAGGAGGGCAGAUUGCUUUACAUUGCGUUGUUUUUUGUUUCUCCUGCAGAAGUUUCUUGUGUUUCUUAGGCACCCCCUGCUUUGCCAAAGGGAUUAUUUGCCUUCCACGGUAUCUGAAGAUUCACUGGAUCUGAGUGGAGAGCCAGGAGAUGGAGUUUGUGAGAUACUGUGUGCACAGUCUGGUCAGCGCUGCUCCUGCAGGCAGCUGGGCUGUGGAUCAGCACCAAAGCCCCGACCUCAGGAUAGUUGCCAGCGAAGCCGGGCCACGGUGUUUGCAUGGCACAUGCAGAUGGCUGUCAGUGCUCGUUCAGAGGUUCCCCAGCCUCACCUGGCAUGGCCCUACAAGGGGGUGCUGCUGGACUCCAGCCUGCUGCGUGUGACUGGCUCCCCACAGCCCAGCAGAGCAGCUCCUUGGAAUGGAUCAUGCCUAUUGCUCAUCUGCUGUGUGCUGCUGGGCACGGUGCAGUUGGCUGGUCUGCAAGCCUGUCCAUAUGCCUUGCUGAGAGAGGUUUCUGCUGUCUCUGCGAGAAGACAACUUAGUCCAAGGAGCAACAGCAACCGCUGGAGUAUGGAAAAUCACAAAAGGAAGUGA
rnacentral:lncRNA from 1 species